rnacentral:ncRNA from 1 species
CAAAGGUUUGGUCCCAGCCUUUCUAUUAGCCCUUAGUAAGAUUACACAUGCAAGUAUCCGCACUCCGGUGAAAAUGCCCUUCAAGUCACUGCAGACCUAAAGGAGCGGGUAUCAAGCACACUAUACAGUAGCUCACGACGCCUUGCCUAGCCACACCCCCACGGGAUACAGCAGUGAUAAAAAUUAAGCCAUGAACGAAAGUUUGACUAAGCUAUACUAACUUUAGGGUUGGUAAAUUUCGUGCCAGCCACCGCGGUCAUACGAUUAACCCAAGUUAAUAGACAUACGGCGUAAAGCGUGUUAAGGAACUUCACCCAUUAAUAAAGCUAAAUCUAGGCUAUGCCGUAGAAAGCUCUAGCUUAGACAAAAAUAAUCUACGAAAGUGACUUUAAAUUAAUCCGAUACACGAUAGCUAAGACACAAACUGGGAUUAGAUACCCCACUAUGCUUAGCCCUAAACCAAAAUAGUUAUCAUAACAAUACUAUUCGCCAGAGCACUACUAGCAACAGCUUAAAACUCAAAGGACUUGGCGGUGCUUUAUAUCCCUCUAGAGGAGCCUGUUCUGUAAUCGAUAAACCCCGAUAAACCUCACCAACCCUUGCCAAUACAGCCUAUAUACCGCCAUCUUCAGCAAACCCUAAAAAGGAAGCACAGUAAGCAAAAACAUGGAGCAUAAAAACGUUAGGUCAAGGUGUAGCCUAUGGGUUGGAAAGAAAUGGGCUACAUUUUCUAACAUAGAAUAUCAACGAAAAUUUUCGUGAAACCGAAAAUGGAAGGAGGAUUUAGUAGUAAAUUAAGAAUAGAGAGCUUAAUUGAAUAAGGCCAUGAAGCACGCACACACCGCCCGUCACCCUCCUCAAGUACCAAAGUAUGACCAACCAACCUUAUUAAUGAACAUACACACAUACAAGAGGAGAUAAGUCGUAACAAGGUAAGCGUACCGGAAGGUGCGCUUGGACAAACC